rnacentral:rRNA from 1 species
UACGGCGAGUGAAGCGGCAACAGCUCAAAUUUGAAAUCUGGCUCUUUUAGAGUCCGAGUUGUAAUUUGCAGAGGGCGCUUUGGCUUUGGCAGCGGUCCAAGUUCCUUGGAACAGGACGUCACAGAGGGUGAGAAUCCCGUACGUGGUCGCUGGCUAUUGCCGUGUAAAGCCCCUUCGACGAGUCGAGUUGUUUGGGAAUGCAGCUCUAAAUGGGAGGUACAUUUCUUCUAAAGCUAAAUAUUGGCCAGAGACCGAUAGCGCACAAGUAGAGUGAUCGAAAGAUGAAAAGCACUUUGGAAAGAGAGUCAAACAGCACGUGAAAUUGUUGAAAGGGAAGCGCUUGCAGCCAGACUUGCUUACAGUUGCUCAUCCGGGUUUCUACCCGGUGCACUCUUCUGUAGGCAGGCCAGCAUCAGUUUGGGCGGUAGGAUAAAGGUCUCUGUCACGUACCUCCUUUCGGGGAGGCCUUAUAGGGGAGACGACAUACUACCAGCCUGGACUGAGGUCCGCGCAUCUGCUAGGAUGCUGGCGUAAUGGCUGUAAGCGGCCCGUCUUGAAAC